UCAGAUUGCAGGCUGCAACUCGCCUGCAUGAAGUUGGAAUUGCUAGUAAUCGCGAAUCAGAAUGUCGCGGUGAAUACGUUCCCGGGCCUUGUACACACCGCCCGUCACACCAUGAGAGUCGAUAACACCCGAAGCCUGUGAGCUAACCGUAAGGAGGCAGCAGUCGAAGGUGGGGUUGAUGAUUGGGGUGAAGUCGUAACAAGGUAUC
rnacentral:rRNA from 1 species